AUACUGGCGAAGUGAGCAGUACAAGUACUAAAAUUGCAAUGAUACAGUGAAGAUUAGCACGGUCCAUGCACAAGAGUUACAUACAAAUUCUUCAAGUUCUCUAUUUUUUA
ensembl:snRNA U6 U6 spliceosomal RNA